rnacentral:rRNA from 1 species
UACGGGGGGGGCAAGCGUUGUUCGGAUUCAUUGGGCGUAAAGGGUGUGUAGGUGGCGCCGUAAGUCGGGUGUGAAAUUUCGGAGCUUAACUCCGAAACUGCAUUCGAUACUGCGGUGCUUGAGGACUGGAGAGGAGACUGGAAUUCAUGGUGUAGCAGUGAAAUGCGUAGAGAUCAUGAGGAAGACCAGUGGCGAAGGCGGGUCUCUGGACAGUUCCUGACACUGAGACACGAAGGCCAGGGGAGCAAACGGG